UACGGAGGGGACUAGCGUUGUUCGGAAUUACUGGGCGUAAAGCGCACGUAGGCGGAUUUGUAAGUCAGGGGUGAAAUCCCGGGGCUCAACCCCGGAACUGCCUUUGAUACUGCGAAUCUCGAGUCCGGAAGAGGUGAGUGGAAUUCCUAGUGUAGAGGUGAAAUUCGUAGAUAUUCGCAAGAACACCAGUGGCGAAGGCGGCUCACUGGCCCGGUACUGACGCUGAGGUGCGAAAGCGUGGGGAGCAAACAGG
rnacentral:rRNA from 1 species